GACGAACGCUGGCGGCGUGCUUAACACAUGCAAGUCGAACGGAAAGGCCCUGCUUGUGGGGUGUGCGCGAGGGGCGAACGUGUGAGUAACACGGGAGUAACGUGCCCUUGACUGUGGUAUGACUGCAGGAAACGGGGGCUAAUACGGGAGAGGAGCGCCGGCGGCGGGGUGGUGGUUGGAAAGGUUCGGCGGUGGGGGAUGGACGCGGCGCUUAUCAGCUUGGUGGUGGGGUAGUGGAUUAACAAGGCUGUGACGGGUAGGCGGCAUGAGAGGGUGAGCGGCCAUAUUGGGACUGAGAUACGCCGCAGACUCCUACGGGCGGCAGCAGUGGGGAAUAUUGCACAAUGGGCGGAAGCCUGAUGCAGCAACGCCGCGUGGGGGACGACGGCCUUCGUGUUGUCACCCGCUUUCGCCUGCGACGAAGCGUGAGUGACGGUAAUGGGUAAAGAAGCACCGGCUAACUACGUG
rnacentral:rRNA from 1 species